rnacentral:rRNA from 1 species
UACAGGGGGGGCAAGCGUUGUUCGGAAUCAUUGGGCGUAAAGCGCGCGUAGGCGGCCCGGUAAGUCCGCUGUGAAAGUCAAAGGCUCAACCUUUGAAUGUCAGCGGAUACUGCCAGGCUAGAGUCCGGAAGAGGCGAGUGGAACUCCUGGUGUAGCGGUGGAAUGCGCAGAUAUCAGGAAGAACACCAACGGCGAAGGCAGCUCGCUGGGACGGAACUGACGCUGAGGCGCGAAAGCGUGGGGAGCGAACAGG